CUUUGACGUUAGCGGCGGACGGGUGAGUAACACGUGGAUAACCUACCUAUAAGACUGGGAUAACUUCGGGAAACCGGAGCUAAUACCGGAUAACAUAUUGAACCGCAUGGUUCAAUAGUGAAAGGCGGCUUUGCUGUCACUUAUAGAUGGAUCCGCGCCGUAUUAGCUAGUUGGUAAGGUAACGGCUUACCAAGGCAACGAUACGUAGCCGACCUGAGAGGGUGAUCGGCCACACUGGAACUGAGACACGGUCCAGACUCCUACGGGAGGCAGCAGUAGGGAAUCUUCCGCAAUGGGCGAAAGCCUGACGGAGCAACGCCGCGUGAGUGAUGAAGGUCUUCGGAUCGUAAAACUCUGUUAUCAGGGAAGAACAAAUGUGUAAGUAACUGUGCACAUCUUGACGGUACCUGAUCAGAAAGCCACGGCUAACUACGUGCCAGCAGCCGCGGUAAUACGUAGGUGGCAAGCGUUAUCCGGAAUUAUUGGGCGUAAAGCGCGCGUAGGCGGUUUUUUAAGUCUGAUGUGAAAGCCCACGGCUCAACCGUGGAGGGUCAUUGGAAACUGGAAAACUUGAGUGCAGAAGAGGAAAGUGGAAUUCCAUGUGUAGCGGUGAAAUGCGCAGAGAUAUGGAGGAACACCAGUGGCGAAGGCGACUUUCUGGUCUGUAACUGACGCUGAUGUGCGAAAGCGUGGGGAUCAAACAGGAUUAGAUACCCUGGUAGUCCACGCCGUAAACGAUGAGUGCUAAGUGUUAGGGGGUUUCCGCCCCUUAGUGCUGCAGCUAACGCAUUAAGCACUCCGCCUGGGGAGUACGACCGCAAGGUUGAAACUCAAAGGAAUUGACGGGGACCCGCACAAGCGGUGGAGCAUGUGGUUUAAUUCGAAGCAACGCGAAGAACCUUACCAAAUCUUGACAUCCUUUGACCGCUCUAGAGAUAGAGUCUACCCCUUCGGGGGACAAAGUGACAGGUGGUGCAUG
rnacentral:rRNA from 1 species